AAACUUUCAACAACGGAUCUCUUGGUUCUCCCAUCGAUGAAGAACGCAGCGAAAUGCGAUAAGUAGUGUGAAUUGCAGAAUUCAGUGAAUCAUCGAAUCUUUGAACGCACAUUGCGCCCUCUGGUAUUCCGGAGGGCAUGCCUGUUCGAGCGUCAUUA
rnacentral:rRNA from 1 species